rnacentral:rRNA from 1 species
CUGGCUCAGGAUGAACGCUAGCUACAGGCUUAACACAUGCAAGUCGAGGGGCAGCAUGAUCGAAGCUUGCUUUGAUUGAUGGCGACCGGCGCACGGGUGAGUAACGCGUAUCCAACCUUCCCCAUAGUAGAGAAUAGCCCGGCGAAAGUCGGAUUAAUGCUCUAUGUUGUAUCAUGAGGACAUCUGAAUAAUACCAAAGGUUCACCGCUAUGGGAUGGGGAUGCGUCUGAUUAGGUUGUUGGCGGGGUAACGGCCCACCAAGCCCACGAUCAGUAGGGUUCUGAGAGGAAGGUCCCCCACAUUGGAACUGAGACACGGUCCAAACUCCUACGGGAGGCAGCAGUGAGGAAUAUUGGUCAAUGGACGGAAGUCUGAACCAGCCAAGUAGCGUGCCAGGAUGACGGCCCUAUGGGUUGUAAACUGCUUUUAUACAGGGAUAAAGUGAGGGACGUGUCCCUUUUUGUAGGUACUGUAUGAAUAAGGACCGGCUAAUUCCGUGCCAGCAGCAGC